GCGGCGGACGGGUGAGUAAUGCUUAGGAAUCUGCCUAUUAGUGGGGGACAACAUUCCGAAAGGAAUGCUAAUACCGCAUACGCCCUACGGGGGAAAGCAGGGGAUCUUCGGACCUUGCGCUAAUAGAUGAGCCUAAGUCAGAUUAGCUAGUUGGUGGGGUAAAGGCCUACCAAGGCGACGAUCUGUAGCGGGUCUGAGAGGAUGAUCCGCCACACUGGGACUGAGACACGGCCCAGACUCCUACGGGAGGCAGCAGUGGGGAAUAUUGGACAAUGGGCGAAAGCCUGAUCCAGCCAUGCCGCGUGUGUGAAGAAGGCCUUUUGGUUGUAAAGCACUUUAAGCGAGGAGGAGGCUACUUGGAUUAAUACUCUAGGAUAGUGGACGUUACUCGCAGAAUAAGCACCGGCUAACUCUGUGCCAGCAGCCGCGGUAAUACAGAGGGUGCGAGCGUUAAUCGGAUUUACUGGGCGUAAAGCGUGCGUAGGCGGCUUUUUAAGUCGGAUGUGAAAUCCCUGAGCUUAACUUAGGAAUUGCAUUCGAUACUGGGAAGCUAGAGUAUGGGAGAGGAUGGUAGAAUUCCAGGUGUAGCGGUGAAAUGCGUAGAGAUCUGGAGGAAUACCGAUGGCGAAGGCAGCCAUCUGGCCUAAUACUGACGCUGAGGUACGAAAGCAUGGGGAGCAAACAGGAUUAGAUACCCUGGUAGUCCAUGCCGUAAACGAUGUCUACUAGCCGUUGGGGCCUUUGAGGCUUUAGUGGCGCAGCUAACGCGAUAAGUAGACCGCCUGGGGAGUACGGUCGCAAGACUAAAACUCAAAUGAAUUGACGGGGGCCCGCACAAGCGGUGGAGCAUGUGGUUUAAUUCGAUGCAACGCGAAGAACCUUACCUGGUCUUGACAUAGUAAGAACUUUCCAGAGAUGGAUUGGUGCCUUCGGGAACUUACAUA
rnacentral:rRNA from 1 species